ACGAACGCUGGCGGCGUGCCUAACACAUGCAAGUCGAACGGAAUGAGGGGGCUUGCUCCUUCAUUUAGUGGCGCACGGGUGAGUAACGCGUAGAUAAUCUGCCUGAUGAUCCGGGAUAACACUUCGAAAGGGGUGCUAAUACCGGAUAAGCCCACGACGGCCUUGGCCGACGCGGGAAAAGGGGGGGACCUUCGGGCCUUCUGUCAUCAGAUGAACCUGCGUUAGAUUAGCUAGUUGGUAGGGUAAAGGCCUACCAAGGCGACGAUCUAUAGCUGGUCUGAGAGGAUGACCAGCCACACUGGAACUGAGAUACGGACCAGACUCCUACGGGAGGCAGCAGUGGGGAAUAUUGGACAAUGGGGGCAACCCUGAUCCAGCGAUGCCGCGUGUGUGAAGAAGGCCUGAGGGUUGUAAAGCACUUUAGUUGGGGAGGAAAGGCUCUCUUCUAAUAGAAGAGAGAAAAGACGUUACCCAAAGAAUAAGCACCGGCUAACUCUGUGCCAGCAGCCGCGGUAAUACAGAGGGUGCAAGCGUUAAUCGGAAUGACUGGGCGUAAAGGGCACGUAGGCGGAUAGAUGUGUCAUAGGUGAAAUCCCCGGGCUCAACCUGGGAACUGCCUGUGAAACUGUGUAUCUAGAAUAUAGGAGAGGGAAGUGGAAUUUCCGGUGUAGCGGUGAAAUGCGUAGAUAUCGGAAAGAACACCAGUGGCGAAGGCGACUUCCUGGUCUAAUAUUGACGCUGAGGUGCGAAAGCGUGGGGAGCAAACGGGAUUAGAUACCCCGGUAGUCCACGCUGUAAACGAUGAGAACUAGAUGCUUGUUGACUAAGGUUAAUGAGUAUGAAGCAAACGCGUAAGUCUCCCGC
rnacentral:rRNA from 1 species